CAGCAGCCACGGUAAUACGUAGGGUGCAAGCGUUAAUCGGAAUUACUGGGCGUAAAGCGUGCGUAGGCGGUUCGUUAAGUCUGUUGUGAAAGCCCCGGGCUCGACCUGGGAAUGGCAAUGGAUACUGGCGAGCUAGAGCGUGUCAGAGGAUGGUGGAAUUCCCGGCGUAGCGGUGAAAUGCGUAGAGAUCGGGAGGAACGUCAGUGGCGAAGGCGGCCAUCUGGGACAACACUGACGCUGAGGCACGAAAGCGUGGGGAGCAACCAGGAUUAGAUACCCCAGUAGUCCCUGUCUCUUAUAC
rnacentral:rRNA from 1 species